UCUCACUCUCUCAGAGAUCUGAAGAAGAAAAAAUAUCCCAGGUGUUGAGAUGUUCCGCCCACAAGAGUCAUUUCAUCAGAGAUUUGAAAGAACUCUUUAACCCAUGAUCCCUUCAGCAGCAACUAUAAAUUAUUAGGCCAAUUUGAGGUUCUAGGUUUCCUUAUGGUUGGUGGAAGCUGGAGGAUCGACAGAAGAUGAGCAAAAAAAGGGCCAAAAGGAACACAUUUUAUAUCAAUCUCACAAUUUCCAGUAAAGAAAUCUAGAAAGGAAUCUAUCUUUUACAACUUCAUCCUUGGUUACUCCUAGAGCUCUAGCAAAUGCGCAUGCCUGUGAGCAAAUAUACGGAGGGGGGGGGACAAAGUUUUUGGCGCAUAUUCAUAACCUUGUUCUGAAAUUACAUUCUCUUGACGAGAGAUUAAGAAUAGCGAUUGAUAGCAUCGUUGUUUUCGAGUUCUUGGAUACACUUUCUUAUCAUCAUACAUUCAUAUUGUCAUCUAAACUAAUAUGUUCUGAAAUUACAUUCUUUUUCACAAGGAGUGUUUACCACAACUGCUUUGGCUUUGUCGAAUUUGAACAGUUGAGUUCCAUGCAAAAUGCAGUGAAGAUAUGAACUCUGCGAAGCUUCAUUACUUUCAUUGAAGAUGAUUCUUUCCUUUGUGUUUUUUGAACAUUAGUUUCACCAAUAAAACUAAAUCAUGGUCACCAAUUAUUUGUUAUGAACAUGCACUUGAGGCCUGUAAAUUAUAGUGGGACCCCAAACUGUAUGCUCUGCUUUGGAUGGUUGAUUCCUAUGACGAAAUAACAAUACUUAUCUUUUUCUACUAGUCAAUUCACUGGUACUUAAUAUAAGUCCGUGGAACUAACUCUCUUAGCAUAGAUGAUUGCUCAUGGUCCACUUUUAUGCUGUACAUGUUAGAUUGCCUUAAAAAGUACAUCAUGACUCUAUGUCUUUUAGGUCAACAAAUAAAAUGACUUUCUUUUCUUAGUUGGUUUUUGUAUGCUAAAAAUAUUGAAAGAAUUUCUUAAAAUGAUCUCAUUUGAUAGGGAAAUAAGUGAGGUUAGGUGAAGCAAGAAAGGUUAACUUUUCCUUGCGGGAAUGCACCUUUGGAGGACGUGGCGAAGGCUACCAGCCAGUGGAGCAGAAUGGGAAUGGAAAAGUUGCAGGUGAUCGUCAAGGUGAUUCUAACAUCUACUGGAUUGUUUGACCUCAACCUGAUACAUCUGCAAAGCAUGGUGAUCCAAUUAAGAGCAGGGCAGUUGUUAGGUUGCAACAUGUGAAGACACGAAAAUGGCUUGACAGCCACUUGCACGCAUCUCCAAUUUCAAGCAACAUUGAGGCUUGAGAUUGAAGGUAAAGGUAAAAUCUGGAGGCAAGAUCAAAGGGUCUGACUUCAACACUUCGAUACAGGUGGUUAUUUGCAUAGUCACGACAAUAAAUACACCAGAAUAGCUGGAGGUCAGCAAGAGGUUUGUGGAGUUAGAGAAAAGCGAACUGAUAACAUAUGGUUGGCAGCAGAAGGGCCACUGGGGUUGUCGCACAACGCAAAGGAGUUGACCUGACCAUGCAUUGAUAUCAGGUGCUUCAUUUAGGUUACAAAUAGGAGUUUCUUCUUGAAAUCUAAGUUGUCGCUUAAUGCAGAAAAUUGUACCUUAGACAUUCACUAUGCUUCUGAAGUUAUAAGUUAGUCUUUCUGAAACUAAAUGAUAAGUUGUUUCCUUCUCUUUUUUUCUAAAAUGUGUUAGAUGUUGUUUUUAUG